GUUGACCUCGGAUCAGGUAGGACUA
rnacentral:rRNA from 1 species